UACGAAGGGGGCUAGCGUUGUUCGGAAUCACUGGGCGUAAAGGGCGCGUAGGCGGCCGAUCAAGUCGGGGGGGAAAGCCUGUGGCUCAACCACAGAAUUGCCUUCGAUACUGGUUGGCUUGAGACCGGAAGAGGUAAGUGGAACUGCGAGUGUAGAGGUGAAAUUCGUAGAUAUUGGGAAGAACACCGGUGGCGAAGGCGGCUCACUGGCUCAUUUCUGACGCUCAGGCGCGACAGCGUGGGGAUCAAACAGG
rnacentral:rRNA from 1 species